CCUACGGGAGGCUGCAGUGGGGAAUAUUGGACAAUGGGGGCAACCCUGAUCCAGCCAUGCCGCGUGUGUGAAGAAGGCCUUUUGGUUGUAAAGCACUUUAAGCAGUGAAGAAGACUCCAUGGUUAAUACCCAUGGACGAUGACAUUAGCUGCAGAAUAAGCACCGGCUAACUCUGUGCCAGCAGCCGCGGUAAUACAGAGGGUGCAAGCGUUAAUCGGAAUUACUGGGCGUAAAGCGAGCGUAGGUGGCUUGAUAAGUCAGAUGUGAAAUCCCCGGGCUUAACCUGGGAACUGCAUCUGAUACUGUUAGGCUAGAAUAGGUGAGAGGAAGGUAGAAUUCCAGGUGUAGCGGUGAAAUGCGUAGAGAUCUGGAGGAAUACCGAUGGCGAAGGCAGCCUUCUGGCAUCAUAUUGACACUGAGGUUCGAAAGCGUGGGUAGCAAACAGGAUUAGAUACCCCAGUAGUC
rnacentral:rRNA from 1 species